rnacentral:misc_RNA from 1 species
UUUUUCGCCUUCGAAAUCUGAAAGAAAUGCAACAAUGGCGGAGCCGGCCCGAACUAGCAGGCUUUUUUCGGUAAACCGACCCAUAACCGGGAUUCAGAAAUAUACAGCAAACCCACCCGAUCCAAAUCCAUGAUCCGUUGAAGUCGAAGGUGCUGAUCUCAGGCUUUGCCUUUUUCGGCGAAGCAGCUUCAUGCACGCUCUCUAUCUGAAGCCGACUUCCUGCCAAAUUUUUUUGAUCAGGCCCUACGGAUCUCCGUUGAGGCGAAUUUCCAUAUUUACAGAGAUUAUGGAGAUCACCUUCUGCCAAUGUAGUGAGUCCCUUCUAUCAGUAUUUGCAACAGUCGGUAAUUCCAUCUCCAGUGAUUCACACCUUUUGUUGUUGUUGUACUAUUAUGAAUUUAGGGCUGUUUUUGUCCUUAGAUUGGUAGUAUGGUCAACCUAUUACGCAGGACGCACUUCAGCACACCUGAACUUGUAUCAAACAUGUUUAGGUGCUCAGAAAUUUAAAGCAUUUUGAUGAAAUCAUGUGCAAGUUUGACACUGGUUAUUCUUACCUGAACUAUUUUGGCAUUGAUAUUCAAAACAUAAAAAUUUGCUAAUGUGAACCAUAAGUUAGGGGGCAAAAUAAUUGUAGGCAUGUUUUUUCCUAUACUUCAAAAAUUACCAAUUGUCUGUAUUUGUUCCUGGUCCCUGAGUGUUGUAUAAUUUCCCCCCAUUGUCCAUGCCCAUAUAACAUGCUUUUAGUUACUCGGACACUUGCUAAUUGGUGGAAACUAUCUUCAAGUAUGAUUUUAUUAUUAAGAAUGGAUGGUUCAUCUAUGGGCAUUUUCUCGUGUCAGGAUUGGCAUAGCACAUGCAUGAGAUGAAAUCAAAUCAUGUCGUUGAUCAAAGAAUUUUCAUUUUACUUGUAUGUUGUCUUGAGCUGGAAUGAUGGGGCUUCAAGAUUAGAUCUAUAUAUGGAUGUCUGAGUUUUGCCUUCAAUUCACUCAUCUAACUGCAAUGUUUUAUUGAGAUGAUGAGGUGAAUCUCCAGUUCAAGGAAAUUACUAGCAGAUUCUUCUAAGGAAACACCUAUUCGAUCUCCAUUGACUCCUGCUUUAGCUCCACUAAGCAGCGAAAAGAGUAAAGAAAGCAGUCUCUAAACCAUCAAAAGUUACAAGCAGUACUAAAGGGCAUAAAACAGGUGCGAGGUGCUAUGUUUUCUUGUUCAUCAUAAUAUUCCAUUUAGCACUACUGGGAAUCCCCUUUCCUGCUAAUGUUCUGAGUAAUUAUUACUAUAAUCAACAAAUUAUUAAUAAUUAUAAUUAAGCACUAAUUUUGAAGAGUCCUAAUUAUGCAAAGUAAGCUUCUUUCAUUGAUACAUUAUCCAUACUCCCCGAAUUCAUAAAUACAUAGUAGAAGGCUCCCUUUCUUCAUAUUUCAACUUCUACAUAGUUCCUUGGUUUUGCUACAGCAGUGCAGCCAACAAAAAUCACUAUAUUGAUACAGAUGAUACAUAUGUAGAGAACUCCUAAUCUCAACAGCUAGGGAUGGUCUAAACUUUACAAUUGUUCCAGUCAUUGACUUAAACUGCAUUAUUGAACAAGUCAAACAUGCAUAUGUUGUAUAGUUAUUGGAUAAAACACAUUUUAGACUCAUGCCAAUGAAUGGGUCAUGUCUUGCUCUAUUACUGUAAAUCACACUAUAGGUGUUGAUGUACUUCAAUUUCUUUGCUGAAAACUUGGAAUUGAAAGUGACUUUUCUGGUUGCACUGGCAACAAAUUUAUGACAAAUUGUCGUAUUUAUUAUGCUAUUGGUUUAAUCUGAUUGAAGAUUUCUCACAAAGUGUUUCCCAAAUUCUUAUAUGAAUAUAUUUAUUAUAAAAUUUUGCAUAUUCUUGAAAGGAUGCACCAAAAAUGGGAGCAGUAUGCAAUAACUGAGAAAAAAGAUUAAUAGCACCUGCGAGUUAUUAUUAUAGUUUAUUGGUUGACUAAAGUGAUUUGUAAUUGCACCAGGCUUUGACUGUGGACAGAUUUUCUAUUUUGGUCAACCAAUAUAAAUGUUCUUCUCUAGUUUUGCAUUAAUAGAGAGAUACUUAUAUUUACUUUAAAGUGAAGUGGAUGUUAGGAAUAGGACAAUAAACAUUCAGACAGGAAAUAACUUGAUUCUUUGAUUAAUUUUAGCUUUCUGGUUUCAGAGUCGUAAGAAGUUCAAUUUAGUUGCUGCAUUAGUUCGUGUGUGUUGAAGAUGCAUUGUUGCAGUUGCAAGUGACAAUAACGUGAGCUUCAAAAACUGUCUACCAUCUUGUAAAUCUUUUCAAUUAGUAACAGAUGUACUGAUUCAUCUAAAUCAGAGUUCUUUUUUCUUGUUCCUGUGGAAAUGAGAAAUUUGAAAGAAACAGAAGGGGAGGGUGCGUUUUUCUGGGUUAAAUAUGCAGAAAUUGGCUUUUAACAGACGGGAACCUUAACAAGUCUGGGUCUCAAAUUAGCAUUGUAGAAUCUGGAUGAAAUUAUUUAUUAAUUAAAGAAGAAAAGUUAUGACUCUUAAGGAAGCAGGAAAGGAAAGUAGAUGUGCUUUCUGAAACAAAGUCAGAAUUGAUAUCUCUUCUAGUGAAGUAUUUUGCAAAUAGCUUACAAUCAUAAAGGGUGUGAAAACCUUUUUAAUGUUCACGGGGCAUGCUCACGUUAAGCUGCAAAUGCCGUUCCAGUCCUUGGUUUAUAUGACUUCCAUAAUUUAUGGGAUUAAAGUGCAAUAUUUUUUGGUCUGUUCUAAUACGUCCGGAUUUAAAGAUAAUUAAUUAAUAAUAAAAAAAAACCCUUAACUAAAACUUCUUCCUUUUUAAGGAUAUUCAUUCAGCUCGAGCAAAUGCGACUCAUAAUCAUGGGUUGGAUCCAUAUCUUCUCCUUACUGCUGAGGCAUUUGUUGGGAAGGGAUUUUAUAAGAAGAGAAUUGUUUGCCAUGCAAAGGGGAGAGCUGGAAUUAAACAUAGACCAGAAUGUCGACUGACAGUAAUAGUGAGAGAGACAACCCCCGAAGAGGAAGCUGAGAUUGCCAGGCUAAGAGUGCACAAUUUCCUCAAGCUCACUGAGCGGGAAAGGCGCAUUGUGCCACGCAAGCUUAUUGAGAUCACUCCACUUUGGCGUCUCAAAGGCAAAACUGCUGAUCGUAUACCAAGCGGUAAGGCUGCAUAGGGUGGUCUUCCUCUCCAUUCUUUGUUGCGAUAGGAUGUUUUGUAGAAGUGUUAAUAACUCCAUUCCAUGUUUUUGCACUAUAGUAGAAUAGUAUUGUAGAUUUGCAUAUGCCAAUGCGCUGGAAAACAAGCAACCCUGUUUUGAUCUCAGACGAUGGGUACAUGGAAUCUCAUAUCCGUCAAUAUCCAUUACAUUGAAAAAUUUUCAUUUUGGAUUGUUGAGAAUAAGAUCUUUCCCCCCUUUUUCCCAUUGUUAUUAAUUUAGAGUAACAAAUAA